UACAGGGGGUACUGUCUUUGUGUUUCUUCCCUCCUCUUCCCCCUCUCUCUCUUUUUUUUUAUAGUGUGGAGAAGUGGCCUUGAGCUUGAGAACCGUUCAUCUUUUAUUUUUCCAAUGUAAACAAGGAAAGUGGUAUAUGUGGGGUACUACUGUACUUUGUUGAGAUGGCCACACUCAUGGUUGUGGAGAAUGUAUAUACUGUGUGAGGUGUUGGCUGUGUGUGCCAUUAAUGAUAACCAUUUGUUAUGUUUUGCUUGCAGGAGUGUUACCUCCCGCUAGUCAGGCAGGGUGGAGAGGGGGCCACACAGAAUCCAGUGACACCUCAGCUCAAGGCGGCAGUACCAUGUCGGCUCUGGAGAGUCUCGUCGGCUCAUUAGGUGGAUCCGCCGACGAGAAUGAUGGGGACAUGCUCGGGUCUGGAAUAGUGACCAGCGGAACGACGUGCUACAACAACACGAUAUCUGAUGACCCCUUGGCCACCCACGACUCAGGUGAUGCAGCUGACUUCUGGGCCACUAACCCUUGCACCUCUACUCUGCUUGCUGCCUCUGACCUCACUAACCCUCUGCUGACCAAUCACCACCUGGUGCCCACAGCAACUCUACCGCAGGUGACGUCGGUAUCGGGGAAGAGCGGCAGCGGUAACACGUGCACGUCGCCUUCGCGUCAGAGUUGUUCGUGUCCAUUGUGCGGUCGACAUAUUGCCCAGAGACGGAGUUUGAAACAACACCUCAUGUCCAAUUUCCACAGACUCACUCCUAUCAAAGCUGACAGUGUGGUGAAAGAGUACCUAGCUGUUGUCACUAGAUAAGGACAUGGUUUGCUAAUAUGUGUUGUGUCCAAGUCUUACUAUAUUGUAACCACUUCUUCAUAGCUGACAACAUUAAUCUUAAAAAAAAAUCCCACUAAAAUAGUAUGGAUUAUUUUUCAUAAGUGAUAAUUUUUUCUUUUCUUAGUAUAUAUUUUAAAUUUCCUGGAUUUUAUUGAAAUUCAGAAACACAGGAGGUCCUAUGAAAGAAAAGUCAAGGAUUGGUCGAGAGAGUGCACUGAGUACUGCACUAACAUUUAUGAGGCACAAGUUAAUCAACACAUGAAGCAAGAUUUAAAAGCCUAAUUGAAAUGUUUAGCAUUUCAUAAUAAUUUCCAUUGUCAAUAUCAGGUCCAGGUUUCACUGUGCUGUUGAUUUAAUACAGUGAAGUGUGGUUAUUCACAAGCGGUUGUGGUUGUUGUCGGACGGUCAGAGUGUGAUGACAUUGUCCGGAGGUUACUGUUCAUCCUCUUGCUCAUAUUCACUGUCCUAGCCAAGGCACCAGACUAGCAAACACAUUCUCCACUCCAUAGUGUCAAAGUGUGUCUGAAGCAUUUAUCAUAUUAUGCAUGUUAAGCCAUUGGUGUUUGAAUUGUUGAAAGCCUAUAUGAUGUUUUCAGUCAAAUGGUUAAGCACGUCCUGUUGAUAGUGCACUACAGUGAAACCUCUAUAUCGGACUGCCCUCCCUCGUGUUAUCCGUUGCAUCGAGGUUUCACAUCUAACAAAUCUUGAUUAUAAUGGACAAACCUUCCACCCCUUAUAUGGUCCAUUAUGUUGAAGUUUCACAUCAAACAGACCCCCUUCCCCCAUAUAGUUUGCUAGGUUGAGGUUUCACAUUAAGUGUUGCAGAAAUUGUAGGUAAGUAAUAUAGGUCUUUAAAUAAAGGCUUUCAAGAUGUUGAAAUAAUGAUUUUCAGGCAGCGUACCAGAGUGGGUGUAUAGAUCCUUAAUAUGGAGACAAAGAGUACAGUUAUGGGCUCAUAGACUACCCUAAGAGUUCUCUGUGAUUGGUAUUGUAAGCUUUGCAAAUUAUGGGUGCAACUGUGGUGUAGGAGUUAUAUGCUACGGUCAAAACAUAAGUUACACAAGCCAUCACAACCUGUACUGUACAGAGCUGGUCAUUGUGUGACCCAACAGCCAACCACCGGGUAAGUAUCGCUCAGCUGGGAAGAUAACAUUCCUUUAUCUGUGUUUAAAAUGAUGACUAACUGUAUGAUGUGUUAUGUUAUGAUGAAGGUUCGAUGACUGUUAUGGAAGUGUGUACACAUGCACUGGUGAAUAAGGCGACAACUUAUACAGUGGUAGCACUUAUUGUCCUCCUCCCACUAAGCAAAACCUGGUAUCACUCGCUUGUCGUAUUUAUGUCUAUUUAUGAGGGGCCACAAGAUGUAAAUUCCCAUGGAAAUUAUAAAUUUGUCAAGGCAUUAUUCCUCCACAAAAGGAUAAUACUUCUGUACAACAUAUAUUUUUUUAGUAAAGUGGAUGACCCCAGGCAGCCUCACCCUAGCAUUACCUAGACCAUGGUUAAGAGGGCAGAGUUCCCUGCUGUAUGCUAAUCACACACUGCAGGUAGAUGACAGAAUGAAUGAGUGUGUAUUAGUACUGUACUGUGUGUGUGGCCGUUAUCACCUUUACAAAUGAAAUCCUUUAUUAUUCCUUUAAUUUUGAGACAAUUUAUAGUGUUCAUGCAUAUCUGGCAGCACGAGUGUCUAUUAAUUCUGUUUUAUUCUCAGUUGGGGACUUACACUCUUGAUUUUUUCUUUUAGCAUGAAAAAAAUUUGUGUUAAUGAGAAAAUUUUGGUUAAACUGGUCUUUUUAGAGGGAGAGAGUUGAAUUUAAGGACCCUUUGUGGUUUUAGAAACUCAGUCCAGAAAAGAUAUUGAAUCAACUUUUAGUUUAUAUGUAACAGACAUGAUUUGUACCUAUAUACUGUAUAGGCAUUGACUGGGGGCUAACAUCUAAACUAUUAUAUACACUUACUUCUGAUGUGGUGGUCCUGAAGAACUAUUAAAUUACAAGCAACAACACAAAACAUGGCAUCACAAACAUUCUUACAGUUAACUAAUGACACUGACUAAUAUAACAAAUCUUAGUUAAAUUAGCUAGAAAAAAGAGUUAAAUUACUACAUAAUACAGCAUGUACGGUAUAGAAGUUAGUUAUGAACACAUUUUAAUUUUGAACAUUGAGACUACUCUAUAAUAAUGAUUUUACUCACUUCUUAAAAACAUCUUUACCUUGACAUUGUGUGACUGAAAGUGGUAGAUCAUUACAUACUGGUAGAUAAAUACUGUACCAGAAUAUAAGAAAAUCCAUCAAAACUAUUUACAGUAUACAGGUAAUCAUGAAACAAUACUUGGUACACUAGGGUAAAAGUCGUGGACAGGUGCACGGAACCUACACUAAUGACUUGGCAAUGAGAAGAUUUUUAACCGUAAUAGGAGUGCUGUACUUAACUGCAUGUGAUUUUUGAAAUUGUAUUUUAUUUUAUUUUAAUUUUGAUUUUUAAACUUCUUAAGCUUUAUACAGGUAUUUUAUUUAUAUCUUAGUUUUAACUUAUGAUUUUCCUCAUUGCCAGAAGUCACUACUGUUAUUGCAUUUAUUCCAUAUCUGUGAUGAUUGCAAACCAUUUCAACAUCUUAAACUUUUCACGGAGUAGAAGGGCUUGGAGACCUAACCUAACCUUGGUGUAUUCAGCUGGCAGUAGUACCAAUGGUUGAAACUCGCAAAUUACAGAUUCUACAAUGAAUUAGGACAAUAUUGGGCAUUAACAAUUACGUACAGUAUGAAUCUUGGAUAAGGAGAAGAUCUUUGCAUUUACUGGAUUCAUUUAAGUUAUAAUGAAUAUAUUAUCACUGUGUUUUAUGAUUUGUUAAAGAGUUGUGGAUAAUUCUUUUUAAAUUACUUGUUGAAAGAUGAUGAUGGUGCUGAAGUCAUUUAUAUACAUUUUCACUCCAGCCUUUGAAUUUUUACAUUUUAUUCAGGUCAUAGUUGUCAAGUUAAUCACCAUUUUGGUAUAUUGGAGCUUAACAUAGGAUAUUUGUAUUUAUUAUUUAGAGGAGGUGAAUCAUUCUUUCUUCUCUUGAAAUCUGUAUACAUUCAACAUUCAAGUACAUUAUUAUUGGUAGAGAUUACAGCUAAUUACUCUCAUCUCACUACUUAAUUGCCUGGGAUCUUGUUAUACUAUACAGUACAGGGUGUCUUAAAAAAAAUCUGCCUUGAUUUUUGUGGCACGAUCUUUCACAUCAGCACGUGAGGACAGUGUUGGUGUUGGAAUGUAUUUAGUCAUUCAUUCAUUCACUCACGUAAUUGCUUUGAGAAUCCGUAAGGCAUUGUGUAUAAUUAUUUUUUUAGACGCCCUGUAUUACACUUGUUUUAUUCAGGUAUAAAUUCUUGCUGAGUAGAGUCUGUACAUUGUGUCUGUCUCUAUCAAUCAAACCAUGGAUGUAUAUUUUAUCUUUAGUUCAGUUACAGAAACAUUCAUUUAAUAGCCGUGUCAUGUAGUUGAGGAAUGGGGAAAUUUAGUCGGCUAUGAGUCAGGUAUUGUUGAACUUUUGGGGUGAAGUAGGAUUUAUAUAAACAACUUGUACAGAUUUGAAGCUUGAGUGAAAAGGAUCUCAUGUGGUGUAGUUGGCAUUGACUUAAUAAUGAUUAAAAGAGAGUCCUGGAUGUCAUGGAUAGAAGGUACCCGGUAGUCAGAAUUUGGCCUGGAUAAUAGGAUAUAAAGUUUUAACAUGGCCUUAUUGGUGGUUGGGGGGGGGGGGAGUUUGACAGUGAACCCAAGGGUGAAAGGGAGGGAGGAUAAGGAAGAAACAAUAUAGAAAAUGACACCAUGUGAUGAUUUUCAUUACAAUGAAUAAUGAAAGUUCUCAUUGAUUCGUCUAGUAUCAAAUAAGAAAGGCUUUUCAUUGAAAACACUGCUAGUAUUGUACAGUGUAUUGUGGUUAAAGGUGUUACUUAUCAAGGAAUUUAUAUUGGAACUUUGCUCUCUCUGGAUUUGAGUUAUCUAAGUGUAGGUGGUAGAUGAAUAUUUUGUCAUGAAAAAAAGAAUAAUCCAUAUUUUGAACUGUAAAAUAUAAAUAUGUGGGCAUUGAUUUUGUAAUGAACCUGUAUUUUUAUCUACUAGAUUGUGGGUACUUUAGAAGGUGUUGAACUGAGUAAUUGAGGGAUUGAUUUUAUUCAUUUUUUCCACUGAGAAAUGUUGCCAUGUUGUUUUGUCCUAUAGUUUAGGAAAUGACACAUAUGUAUAUGUGUAUGUAUGUAUGUGUGUGUCUGUAUUUAUGCGUGUGUGCAAUUAUGUGUUAGAGGUUUUAACACUAGCGGUGCCAAGGGUCCUUCACGAGAGCCUGAGUUUAACGUACAGUAUAAUAAUCAGUGGUGGUCAUCUUGAUGUGCCCAAGAGAGUCUCACUACUGAAGUACAGUAUUUCCUGGACUCAGUGAUCCCCAACCUUAACCCGACUCCACUAAAUAGGUAUUACUUAGUGUAAACCAUUAAUCUCUCAUACUUGAUUUGAAUACGCCUACACCAGCAGGAUAGUAACCCAAGAUACCAGUUAUCAUCUUGCACUCUUUACACAUGAACCCUGAUACUUCCUACUGUAUAAGUUAAGGGAAUAUUUCUGUCUACAGGGUGUCUUAGAAGUUGCACACUGUAGGGAAAAAAAAAAACAUUAUUACAGUAAAUUUUCAAGUGUUUCACCAUCUACUGUACUUCAAAACACGUGUUGAUUGUAUGUGAACAAGAUGCCUUAACUCACUGGGUCAUCUUGUAUUCAUAUGUAAUGAUCUAGUUUAGUUUUUCAGUGGUUCUUAUACCUGGAUGCUGUUGAUAAAAUUCGUAUGCAACUGAUCAGUUAGUGGCAUCUGGCUUUCCUUACAUAAUAUCAAACUGACUCUUUCUUCCAGUGUAAAUUUCUCCACCAUCUUUGUUAAUUUGUUGUGUUUCUCUUGCCUGAAAAAGGAAAAAAAAAGUGAAGACCUAUUUUUCCUACGGUGCACGACCUAUGAGACACCCUGUGCAGAGGUUUUAGAGACCCAUUAUGUGAAACUUUGCUGCUACAGUAACCAUGGCUACUAGGGUGGGGUCAUCAUUCACCAUGUUGUUAUUGCCAAAGGAACAAGAUGUGUUAGGCAGAGGUUUUUAAUGUAGAGAUAUGUAUUUGAGUGUUAUGAAACAGUACAGUUGAAGAUGAGCCAGAGUGAUGUAGUAACCCCCCACACAAUGACUCCCUCUUUGGUGUGUACAAGUGUCUGAAGGUUUAUAAAUUUACAGUCAAGUGAUGUGGGAAUGAUGCAGUGAAGGAACACAUCCAAGAGGUGCGACAGAUCCCACACAUCGCCUCUCAUUCCAUUUGUCGGAUGUUCAACUUACCAUGACAGGAGGUGGACUAGGGGGGAUGGGCUCCUCCACUUCCCCGUACACACAACCUUCCAGACAACGGUGCAACUGUCCUUCUUGUGGACGCAUGCUCAGUCAGAGAAGGAACUUAAAACAACACUUAAUCACCACACACAAGAUGUCGCCUGAUGAAGCCACUGUUAUUGUGAAACGCUACAACUUUGAGCUUCUUGUUGAAGAGCCUAUAAUUCAGCCACUUCCACAGCCACCACUCCCACAUUUGCCACUGCUGCCGUCCCCUCCAUUACCCAUGUCCAUGAUGCCAAGCUUAACUGCAGUAUCGCCCCCAAUUCUUAUGAUGCCACCAAAAAGUCCCCUUUCAUCAUAGCCUCCAGUAAGAUGUGUUAUGUUGUCAAUAAACUCCAUUGCGUUAACCCUUUAUUCCAUUGAAAGGUAAUGAGUUUUGCCCCAUCCUCUUAAAGCCUCAAUAUGUAAUAUUAUUCUCCUCUUUAUUAGCAUUCAUAUUAUGUGUCAGAGUUUGAACCUACAAAGCAUUUUCAUUCCCUGUCUCCCGACUAAAAUAUUGUAGCUUGUUGCCCGACACCAGGUGGUUCUUGCUGCUGUACUGACCAGUUGUGUGUGCUAGACAUCACACCUUGCCCCCCCCCCAUUUGACAAUUAGAAGCUGAUCUGGAAGAUGUUCAUCCUUCCUCAUCACAACCACCACUUUUGAAGAGGCAGAUGAGAAACAAAUGUUGCCUUCUGGAGGUAGGCAAAGAAUGUCAACUUUGAGCUGAGUUACCUAGAUAGUGCUUCACACACUUAUGUGCUGCCAUCUUUGAUUUUAAGAAAAAUUUUCCAUCUUGCUUCAGUCCACAGAGAACAGUCAUACCUGCUUGACUACAAAGCUAAUUAUCUGGCCAAUCUUGUUGAAGGGAGAAGCUUAAGAUUUCCCCUCACCAAGUGUUUAAAUUGUUAACUUUACUGUGGAACUUUAGGAAUAACUAAGCAGAUGAACCUCCUGGGCAAGUUCAUUUCUUUGUAUUAUGAACUGUCUUCAGUGAUCUAUAGGAGAGUAUCAUGUUGGUAGUGCGUGUAGUGUGUAAGUGCAAGUGACAGAGCUGGGUUAUAUUGGCUUGAACCUGGUGUUAUGGAGACUCAACAGUGCCUGAGAGAUGGUGCAGGAAGUGAGAUCCAUAGUAUCUGUACGAGAAUUUAUAUUAAGAUGGAUGUCAUACAGUACAUUGGCUGAACUUGAGUUACAUGAGAGAAAGAUUCAUCUUUUUUCAAUGCUUCCAUGUUAAUCUGAUGGAAUUUUGGGUUUGUCUUCUUCCUUCAGAACUGAGAAGAGUCUCUUGAAGGAGGAGUCCUCUGUAGUUGGGUUAACUCUCCUCGGACACACAUCUUUCCACAACUCUAGCUGGCUGUCAGUAAUGAGCUGCUCAGUGAAAGGACUCAAGCUAGAAAUCGUGUUUCUAGCCGAGUCCAUAACCAAGUGGCUCAGAUAUCUCUCUCUUCUCAAAGGGUUAAUAGUUACCAGUGGUCAGCCAGAACUAUAGCAAGAUCAAAGGUGGCAGCCUGCAAUUUUGGUGUGAGGCAGUAGUUAGUGGGCUGAACUCUUUAUCAGACCUACCUUCAGAGAGCAACAAUUGUGAUGGGGCAGGCACUUGUGAGACCAACGUUCAGAUGUCAAGUGAGGAUCAGGCACAACAUCCAGCCCCCACAGUUGACCAUCACAGUAACAUUAGCCAUUUGGUCAUGGGUUCAACUAGUCUACAGUACACGAUUUCAGUAUCAAUCCUCUCAUUUUGACCACUUAAAGAUUACAUUUUUGUAUUAAAAGUACAAUAUGCGUGAGGUGUUCAUUAGUGCUAGUAAUUUUGCUCUGUGACUUGUGAGCUGCAUCAGUCUGUAGUUUUUUACUUUGUAUGAAAAUUAUACAGAUUCUAGGAGUGCAGCUUCAGUGUUUUAUAAGAUAUUUCAUUAGAUUCAGAAAAAAUACAUUUGAUGCAAGGUUGCACUCAGUCUUUCAGGAAUUUAAAUGAAAUAAUGACAAUAAACUCGUGUUUCUUGCUUCUCAGAUGUUCUCCUGGGGAAGCAAAGUUGUGUAUUUGUGGUGCUUGAUAAUAAGUGAUAACAUGUGCAGCAGAUGUUGUUGCCUCCAGUGAAACUAAAGAAUCUCAGCUCUCUUAAAUGUUCUUAAUUUCUUCACUUAAUUUGGCAUAUCUCAAUUAUAUAAUUUUUAAUAUUUGAUUUGUAACUUUCUGAUUGAAAAUUUUAAUGUAGUUUGUCAUUAGUAAUUAUAAGGUAAUAUAUUUUAAUGUUUUGUAAUGAAAAACAUAACUACUAUUUGGGCAGUGGAUUUUUCAGAUAUUACCACACUGUUUGAAAAUAGUGUACUGUACAGCCUAAAGUGUUCACCACAAGUACAAUUAGCCUGUGCUAUGGAAGACAUUGUAAAUUCACACAUUAAGUCGACGUGGUCGCUCUUCUUGUUGAGGUUACAUGCCAGAACCACUAGUUAUAAGUAAACUGCUGUUGAUUUACAGAUUUAAACUUACAGUCAAGGUUUGCUCAUGCAAGAGCUGCUGAGGGUUAGUGCUGGACAUCUUCAGAAUUUCAUUGUUUUCCAUAGUACCAUGCAUGUAGUAUUAAGGAUCUCCUCCAGUAUCUGCCUCCAUUUGCUCAUAGUGUAAAAAAAAAUUUGUGAUAAUUUGUCCAUUUUUUAUAAGACAGACAUAUAGACGUCAUCAAAGAUGAUCAAUCAUAGUGUUAAACAUUUGUUCCUUGCACAUGAAAGGAAAAACUUGUCAUUGAUGAUAAUGUCACUCACCCUUUUUCAGAUGUACCACUUUUUCCCAAUUGGAUGACCCAAAAUUCCCUUACUGUAUUUAGUUGUUAAACUAUGACUUUCUAUACAGUAGUGACAUAGUUAUUAUGGUUAGGUGUGAUGUAACUUUAAAAGUUACACACACAAACAGUUUUUUUGUAUGUGGAUGAGAGGACAGUGAUGGACAUUGAAAACUGAUUUACUGGAUGGUGGGAGGGGUUGUGUAGGAGGAAGUGCUACUUUCUGGAGACCCAUCUCUUGACUUCUUUUGUACUGUACACCUGUGGCAGGGUAGGAAGAUCACCCCACCAAGUCCUGUACAGUGUAGCUAAAGGAUGUGCAGUGAUCAGUGUGAGACGUAGGAAGCAGGAGUGGAGAACUUUGUUGAAGUUGGCAAGCUUACCGCCCCAAGUGAUUCAAAAUCUUCUUGUCUCCUGCCUGUCCAUAUAUGCAUUGUGUAAGGUAUGGACAAGUGACUAAACUAAUAAUUGAGUAUGAUUCAGUGAAUGAUUCCUCUAGUUGUAAACCUGAAGUUUUGAUGAUACUCUCAUACAUAUGUUUUCUUCCACACUGAUGGUCAGUAGAUGGUACUUGCUGCAACCAGCUAAAAAAAAUAAUAAUAAAAAAUUGAAAACUGCUGUAGCUGCUGUACAUUGGUGGGUCAGUCAUGGAUAUUACCACAUUACUUCAAUGUUAUGUUGGCUCAUGGAACAUGUGUUCAAAUAGGAGGUGUAGGGUGGCUCCUCUACAGUACUGACUGGAGCUACUCUGUUGAAGUAGGUGUAGGGUGGCUCCUCUACAGUACUGACUGGAGCUACUCUGUUGAAGCAGGAGGUGUAGGGUGGCUCCUCUACAGUCCAAUACUGGCUGGAGUUUACAGUGUUCAAGUAGGAGAUGUAGGGUGGCUCCUCUACAGUACUGGCUGGAGCUACAGUUACAAAGUUUGAUGAGAAUGUCUCGGGCAUUUAUUUUAGAUUGUGAUUUAUCAGAAUUUCCUUGAUUUUUUUAGGGAAGGUCACAGUGCUUGGAUUCUCUUGUUGCAAAUUCUGAUUUUUGGUGCUGCAUUUUUGGAACAUUAUUUGCUCCUGUUUGUGAUAUUUGUAUACGUAGCAUUUGAUUAAGUAUUAUGAGGUAUGAUAAGUAUCAUUACUUCCUGAAGGAGGUAGCUGAAAGUACACUGAGCCCUCACUAAUUCGAUAUUCACACAUUGGCUUAUUUUGGUUAAUUUGAUCGAGCAAGAACCCCGACGAUGCCGAAUUAGUGAGGGUUCAGCGUAUCCUUAUUGCCUUUCCCUUUUAUACGAGUCCUCUUCUACUUAAUGUCUAAGGGUUUUAUGUCUUGUAAAAACUUUAGAAGAAAAACCAAACAGCUACUUAGUUAGUUUUGUAAGUUGAUGAUUUUAUUUAAAGGUUUUAAUUCUGUUGCCAAUUAAUGAAAACCAAGGAAAAUAAUAGAAGCAUAUGAAGUACAGUAAAGGCUUUAAUAUGUAGGUAGUGCUGGAUAUGACGAUGUAUUGUAGUACUGUAGUUAUGAAAGUCCAGGUGAAAAUCUAGUAUUGUACUGUAGUAUGCAUUUCUGUCGGUCAUUAGUGAAAGUUCCAAAUACUAGAGAUGUCCGGUUAGUGAGAUACCAUAUAAGAAAGCUUUUACUGCACUUGUUUUAUUAUAUAACUUAUAAAAUAAAGACUAUAAGUAAUUUGACUUCUUUGUGAAAAUGUUCCAAGGAGCUGCUUUAUAUUAUGUAACCAUGAGAGAAAUAGAGAGAAUUAUUGAGUUGGUUCAGAGGUCCUGGUAAUUUAGUUAUGAAUACUGUACUGUACUGUAUAUGGCCAUUGAAGAGGAGAAUAUAAUAUUUAAGUAACAUGAAACCAAAUUGCAGUAUGGGAGGAAAUUCAAGUUUUAUUUUGAGUUACCAUUUUCAGAAGAGCGUGGCGGUUGAGCGGAUACAGUGCUCGCCUCUUGUUCCAGGGUUGGUGAUUUGAUUCUUGGGCACUCCCAGUUCACCCAGCUGUAAAUGGGUACUGUACCUAAGUUUACAACUUGGGGAAGUGACUGUGGUCGAGUGCAGUACUGGCAAUGCUGCCUUCUCCUGUACCAAAGGAAUAGUAUACAGUGUGCUAUAUCCAUACUCCCUAACGGGCAGUCAUGCCUAUGGGACCCACUUUCACUUUCACCAUUUUAAACGUCCCAUAAUAAUAAUAAAUUGAGUUUAAUGGUAUUUUGAAGAUAAAUUUUGUCGGUCGUGACUUUAAAAAAAUGAUAGAAUUAAUCCUAAAAUUUUAUAAUCUGCCACACAUCUGAGGGCAGGAGUAUCAGAUUUUUUGGAUCACCGGAAAAUUAGAAACCUUAGCUUUUAUCACCUGAAGGUUAACCACCAUAGUGCUGACCUAACCUAGCCAACCUAAACCAACCCAACCUAACCUAUCCUGGUCUGACCUACUCUAACCUAACUUAACCUAUCUACCCUAAUCUUACCUUCGUAGGUAGCAUUAGGGUAGUUAAUCUUUAGAUGAAAUAAGCUUGGGUGUUAAAGCUUCAAGCAUAUUAAGCUGAGGUGUCAAAUAUUAGUCAAAUUAAGCAGGGGUGUCUAAUCUUCAGGUAUCCAACUUUUAUUUAAAAGGUCGGCAAUCAUUAAUUUAUUCAGCAGUUCUUGGCGGAUGUACAAGCCAGCGCUGAGUUUGUUAUGACGUUGUGGUACCUAAAGUAACAUUAUUAUUUAUUUAUAUGUGUUUUGUUGUCUCAUAAAGGGAUGGUGUAUAUGGAAUCUUCCUCACACAUUCUCAAUCUUCCUUAUACAUUCUCAUUCUUCCUCAUACAUUCUCAUUCUUCCUCAUACAUUCUGUCUCUUCACAACCACAGACUAUCAACCAUCUUCACACCAUUACUUCACAACAACUGGACGCUGACUCAUAUUUGUUAAUGGUGAGUUAAGUGCUUUUUUGGUGUAGCUAUUAAGAAAUGCAAGACACUUUAUCAUUUCAUUAGCAUAAGACUGUGAAAACUUUGUCGAUUGGUAGAAAAUGAAAAUAGAGAGGCUGAGGAAUACAGCUCCUCCCCGACAUACGACUUACGACCACCCGCACUUACGACCUGCUUCAGUCAUACCAAAAUUUUGUCAAAUUGCUUAUUUUCGAGUCCCAACGUCA